AGUGAACGCUGGCGGUAGGCCUAACACAUGCAAGUCGAACGGCAGCACAGUAAGAGCUUGCUCUUACGGGUGGCGAGUGGCGGACGGGUGAGGAAUACAUCGGAAUCUACUUUUUCGUGGGGGAUAACGUAGGGAAACUUACGCUAAUACCGCAUACGACCUACGGGUGAAAGCAGGGGAUCUUCGGACCUUGCGCGAUUGAAUGAGUCGAUGUCGGAUUAGCUAGUUGGCGGGGUAAAGGCCCACCAAGGCGACGAUCCGUAGCUGGUCUGAGAGGAUGAUCAGCCACACUGGAACUGAGACACGGUCCAGACUCCUACGGGAGGCAGCAGUGGGGAAUAUUGGACAAAGGGGGCAAGCCUGAUCCAGCCAUACCGCGUGGGUGAAGAAGGCCUUCGGGUUGUAAAGCCCUUUUGUUGGGAAAGAAAAGCAGCAGGUUAAUACCCCGCGGUUCUGACGGUACCCAAAGAAUAAGCACCGGCUAACUUCGUG
rnacentral:rRNA from 1 species